rnacentral:lncRNA from 10 species
ACAGAUUUUACAGACUGGAGAAUUGAGGCCCAGAAUGUCUAACCCUGCCAGAGCCAAAGAGCAAGAAGGAGUCAACUUCAAUUCCAUGUCUUUGCCAGCUGGAGAGGCCCAUGGGACAAGGAACUGAGGGAGGCCAUCCACCAUUGCAAUGAAGGAACAGAGGCCCUCAGCCCAGUCACCCUGGAGGGACUGAAUUCCAACAACAACUAUGAGUGAGCCCAGAAUUGGAGCCUUCAGAUGAGACCACAACCCUGGCUAACACCUUGAUUGCAGCUUUGUGAGAGAUCCUAAGCCAGAGGCCCCCAGCUAAGUGAUACAUGGAUUUCUGACCCACAGAAACUGUGAAGAAUCUGGGAGCAGCUCAGCUGGAUAGCUCUGGCUCAGAGUCUCUCACAAGACUGUACUCAAGGUGUCAGACGGGGCAGAGUCAUC